AGCAAUGAUGAAAAGACAGCAAGGACCAAGUCAUUGAGCAGCCACAAAGAUGAAUAAGACACCAAGGAACCAAACAUCCCCGGACUGAUUUCGGUGGACAUGAUUGUACAAGGUGUCCGGGUGGAAAGAUUGUACAAGCUUAGAUGAACCAUACUCUACCCAAGCAGACAAAGUCGGGAUGAGAACGGCUGAUAUACGUGUGGUAUUGGUCAUGAGAAUUGGUUGAAAGGCAAGAAGGUUUCUAACCCUGGUUCAUAGAGUGAAAUUUACCUAAAAGGGAAUAAAAAUGGUUGGAUUCAGUGGAAAAUGGUUGUACAUGGCAGCCACACAUGGUUCCAUGUUCAUCCGGGUUCAAACGGACCAUGUUGCGGUAAAAACCGACGAAAAACGUGUGCUAUAGGUCAUGGGAGGCGAAAACCUAGGCCGAACGACCAUUCGGUAUGUAACCCUAGCCAAAAAAUGGAAAUGACCCACAACGGGAUGGAAACGGUUCAUUUCGGUCCGAACUGUUGUACAUGGCACCCGCACAUGGAGCUAUGUCCAUCCGGGUGGAAACGAACCAUGCUAGGGUGAAAAUAGACGAAAAACAUGGGCUAUAGGUCAUGGGAGGCGAAAACAUAGGCCGAACGACCAUUCGGUAUGUAACCCUGGACAAAAAAUGGAAACAGCCCACAAUGGAAUGGAAACGGUUCAUUUCGGUCGGAAAUGUUGUCCAUGGCACCCGCACAUGGAACUAUGUCCAUUCGGGUGCAAA